rnacentral:tRNA from 1 species
CGCCGACCGGGCGGUCGCGGCGCAGCCGCAGCAGGCCGAGGCCGUGCAGGGCGCGUUCGACGCGUGCGUCGGCUUC